ensembl:lncRNA
CUUAACUCCCUAAUCUUACCUCAUUUGCACUCACUGUAUAUAGACUUUUUGUUUUAUUUGUUCUACUGUAUUAUUGACUGUAUGUUUUGUUUAUUCCAUGUGUACCUCUGUGUUGUUGUAUGUGUCUAACUGCUUUGCUUUACCUUGGCCAGGUCGCAGUUGUAAAUGAGAACUUGUUCUCAACUAGCCUACCUGGUUAAAUAAAGGUGAAAUAAAUUUUUAUUUUUUAUUUUUUAUAUUCUCCCUCAAAUACACAGGCAUUGUGCAUGUUGCUCUACAGAGGAGAGGAGGUAACAUGGAGAUCCUACUACUACAGAGGAGAGGAGGUAACAUUGAGAUCCUACUACUACAGAGGAGAGGAGGUAACAUGGAGAUCCUACUACUACAGAGGAGAGGAGGUAACAUGGAGAUCCUCCUACUACAGAGGAGAGGAGGUAACAUGGAGAUCCUACUACUACAGAGGAGAGGAGGUAACAUGGAGAUCCUACUACUACAGAGGAGAGGAGGUAACAUGGAGAUCCUACUACUACAGAGGAGAGGAGGUAACAUGGAGGUCUACUACGACAGAGGGAGGUCUACAGGAUAUCCUACUACUACGACAGAGGGAGGUCUACAGGAUAUCCUACUACUACGACAGAGGGAGGUCUACAGGAUAUCCUACUACUACGACAGAGGAGAGGAGGUAACAUGGAG